GAGCAGGCUUCAGCAUGGGGUGGGCGGGGUCCCGAGGGAAGGGUCCUGGGCUUGGAAGUGUGUCAAGGCAAGAGCUCUUUUUCCUCAGAAUCCUAGUUGUACCCCUCCCCGCCUUUUCUACUGUGACUAUUUUCUGUGGUGUUGGAGAUAGAAGUCUGGGCCCUGCACAAGUCUUCUACCACCUGAGCUGCCCUUACCCCGUCUCUUGGAGACAAUCCUGUAUGUCUGGUGCAGCCCCGGUGCAUUGGUGUCAAAGACGAAAGACUCUGUGGCUCUCUGAACAUUCCAGGAGUAAGACCUCUGGAACAUUCUCUGCUCCUCCAUCAAUGCGUUCCAGUGCCCAGAGCAGCUCAGCCAUCCUUGAGGCUUGGCUUGGCAUCUAGCAGCAGUGCCAUCAAGAUUCAUUUGACUUUGUCCCCUCUCUUCAUUGCUUUUGGAGGAAAAUAAAUAAAAAGACAAAGCAGACUCCAUGCUUUGGCUGAAAAGUCCUUGAGGCCCCUGCAUGGCUUUCUGGGACACCUUUGCUGGUCUUUUCCAUAUCUGCCAUCAUAGAUACAGCUUUGGUCUGUGAUGCCUUACCUUGUCUUGACUGGCUUGGUUUUGGGACUGUCCCACAGUGUGAAGUGACAAUUGCUUACCUGGCUCAGUUCUUUUAGAUUCUUGUAGACAUCCUAUUAACUACAGUUGCUGCCCAGCCUCUCUGUUCCCUUUGCCUUCAGUCUUGUCUCCAGAAGCCCAUUCAGCAGACUAGAGAGGUCUUCGUGAGGGUAAAACUGGUCCCAUUUCUCUCGUUCCGAAUCCUAUGGCUUGUGGGUGUCUUUGGGAGAAAGCCAGUUUCUUUACUGUAGCUUUCAGGGCUGUACGUAGUUUGGAUAUUCUCUAUGAGGUGCUGAAAUUGGAAACCAGGAAAGGGCUUAUGUCAGGCAAAUGCUCUACCACUGAGCCACACUCAGCCCCUCACUGGGGGAUUCUAGGCAGGGGUUGGGAGUAGGGGGGUGCUUUACCAUUGAGCCAUACCCGUAGGCCCCUGCCGUUCUGGUAGGUUCUAGGCAAGUAGUUUGCCACUGAGCCACUUGACCCUUAAUUUGAUUUUUUUUUAUUUUCUAUUUUAUGUA
rnacentral:sRNA from 1 species